rnacentral:rRNA from 1 species
GACGUAGGGCGCGAGCGUUGUCCGGAUUUAUUGGGCGUAAAGAGCUCGUAGGCGGCUUGUCGCGUCGACCGUGAAAACUUGGGGCUCAACUCCAAGCCUGCGGUCGAUACGGGCAGGCUAGAGUUCGGUAGGGGAGACUGGAAUUCCUGGUGUAGCGGUGAAAUGCGCAGAUAUCAGGAGGAACACCGGUGGCGAAGGCGACACGCUGGGCCGUACCUGACACUGAUGCGCGACAGCAUGGGGAGCAAACAGG